AGAAUCAACGCUGGCGGCGUGCCUAACACAUGCAAGUCGAACGCGGUUACCCCCGCAAGGGGUAACUGAGUGGCGAACGGGUGAGUAACACGUGGGUGACCUACCUUCGAAUGGGGGAUAACGUCCCGAAAGGGACGCUAAUACCGCAUAACAUCCCGUCCUUGAACGGAUGGAGAUCAAAGCCGGGGAUCGCAAGACCUGGCGUUUGAAGAGGGGCCCGCGUCCGAUUAGCUAGUGGUGAGGUACGCUCACCAAGGCGACGAUCGGUAACCGGCCUGGAGAGGGCGGACGGUCACGACUGGGGACUGGAGACGACGGACCCGAGACCUCCGACGGGGAGCAGCAGGUGGGGAAUUGUCACUAAGUGGGGCAC
rnacentral:rRNA from 1 species